rnacentral:rRNA from 1 species
GCCUAACACAUGCAAGUCGAACGCAGUAGCAAUACUGAGUGGCAGACGGGUGAGUAACAUGUGGGAAUCUGCCUUGUGGUUCAGGACAACAUUGGGAAACCGAUGCUAAUACUGGAUAAGCCCUUACGGGGAAAGUUUUAAUGCCAUAAGAUGAGCCCGCAUUUGAUUAGUUAGUUGGUGAGGUAAUGGCUCACCAAGACAAUGAUCAAUAGCUGAUCUGAGAGGAUGAUCAGCCACACUGGGACUGAGACACGGCCCAGACUCCUACGGGAGGCAGCAGUGGGGAAUCUUGCACAAUGGAGGAAACUCUGAUGCAGCGAUGCCGCGUGAGUGAAGAAGGCCUUUGGGUUGUAAAGCUCUUUUGUAGGGGAAGAUAAUGACUGUACCCUAAGAAUAAGGUCCGGCUAACUUCGUGCCAGCAGCCGCGGUAAUACGAAGGGACCUAGCGUAGUUCGGAAUUACUGGGCGUAAAGCGCGCGUAGGCCGUUGAGUUAGUUAAUUGUGAAAUCCCAAAGCUUAACUUUGGAACUGCAAUUAAAACUGCUCGACUAGAGUUUGAUAGAGGAAAGCGGAAUACAUAGUGUAGAGGCGAAAUUCGUAGAUAUUAUGUAGAACACCAGUUGCGAAGGCGGCUUUCUGGAUCAACACUGACGCUGAGGCGCGAAAGUAUGGGUAGCAAAGAGGAUUAGAUACCCUCGUAGUCCAUACCAUAAACGAUGAUUGCUAGAUGUUGGAAAUUUAUUUUCAGUAUCGCAGCUAACGCAUUAAGCAAUCCGCCUGGGGAGUACGACCGCAAGGUUAAAACUCAAAUGAAUUGACGG